AGCUCCGGUUGCGGUGGCGCUAGGGCCCGGGAGCAGCAAUCAGCACUGGGGGAGGCGAGUAUUCUUCCAUGUGCCACCAAAGCCUGAACUGCAACCAUGCACGAGCCUAGAAAGUUUUCAGGUGACACAUGAAGUGGAGCAGCAAAGGUUAAUGGAAGAAAGGGAUAGAGUGACGAGGGAGGAGGCUAAGAGGAGAAUUGUCAAGGCACAACCGCACAACCGAUACUGAAGGAGUUAAGGAGAUCACUUAUGAGAGGUUGCAAGAGGAGAACAAAAUUGCGUAGAAGGUACAUAUGCAUAUCCUUACCUGUUCCUCAGAUGUUGCAGUGGUGCAAGUGCAAGCACAUCUUCUUCUUCUGCUCUAGCGUGUACAAGGCUGGGCAUGAAAUGAGAGUAACAACAAUGGAUUCUAGCCUCUGGGUGUUGUAAGGUGUGUUGACUAAUAUAUAGAAGAUACUUAAAAGUCCAAAUAUCUGAUGCCCCACACUGUGCCAUGAUCAUCGUCUGCAAUGGCAACAACCGCCAUGAUCCAGAUUGUGGAGCCCUUUUGCAGAGUUCAGACUCACAAGUACAGAGUUCCCUCCCUGGGCAUCUGGAAUGGCACUAAGUGCAGAGUUCCCUCCCUAGGAGUUAAUAUCUCCCUAGGCUAUCACAUUGUAUUGUUAUGAUGUAUCCAAGUGAACAAAGUCAUCUUAUUACCAUUAAUAACUCCAUAGGCUAUGACAUUGUAUUGUUAUGACGUAUCCAGACCAUGGGUUGUAAGAACUGAGAUAUUUCUUCAUCCUUUCAUUCUAUCGUGGAAGUUCACCUUCAACGGGUUUCUUUGGCACUGGCUCCUACUGCAAGGUGGUGCAUGUUAUGUCUGGUACAUGACCUUGUCGCUUGUGUUUAAUUACGUUACUAUUACUUCACACAAAAAAUAUGUUACUGUUAACUCUUGGUUUUCUAGCUGGGCUCCCUAUCUCAGCUACCCCGAACUUUUUUUUUUUCAUGUUUUAUGUGGCGAUGUACUAUUUUUAGUAUGUGCUAUCUACAAUAGAUGAUUAUCUCCUAAGUUUCCAAAGAUCAUUAAUGCCCCUCUAUAUUGCAGCCAGUUUACUCUAAUUUGAAAAGUCUGGCCCGGAUGAAAAAUAAUCAGCUUAUGUAUAAGUAUUGUACUAGAUCACUAUGUUGUUUUCCCUUGACCUUAGUUAUUCAAAAUGGCUUGAAUUGUGCUCCCUACGUUCAAUAAUUCUUGUUUCAGAUUCGGAUGUAUUUAUUCAUAAAAUAUGUCUAGAUACAUCCAAAUUUAUGACAAGAAUUAUGGAAUUGAGGGAGUACAUUCCAUUUAUUUUGCAGCGUGUUACUGGGGUAGACUUGACGUGCAUGAUCUAGCGAUAAAGAUCUUUGAAGGAGACAUGGAGAUGGUGUACGGCAGCGCUUUGAAAACCUUUUUGAAACUAUAAAGGUGAAGAGGAGGUGCCAAGCAAUCAAAGUAAACAACCCGCAUAGAUCACAAAAAGAAAUGAUAUACUCCUAUGUUGCUUUUCUCUGUAAGGUCAAAUUUUGACAGACCAAGCUAUCCACUGUUUUUUGUUAUACACAUGAGUCUCACACUUUAUCUCAUGAAAAACAAUACUUUUGGCAGCAAGCAAUUUUUUA